AACGCGAAGAACCUUACCCAGGCUUGACAUGCAGAGGACAACACUAGAGAUAGUGUCUCCCUUCGGGGCCUUUGCACAGGUGCUGCAUGGCUGUCGUCAGCUCGUGCCGUGAGGUGUUGGGUUAAGUCCCGCAACGAGCGCAACCCUUAUCAUUAGUUGCCAACACGUAAAGGUGGGAACUCUAAUGAGACUGCCUGGGUUAACCAGGAGGAAGGUGAGGAUGACGUCAAGUCCGCAUGGCCCUUAUGUCUGGGGCUACACACGUGCUACAAUGGUCGGUACAGAAGGCAGCGAAACCGCAAGGCGGAGCAAAUCCCUAAAACCGAUCUCAGUUCAGAUUGUAGUCUGCAACUCGACUACAUGAAGACGGAAUUGCUAGUAAUGGCGAGUCAGCAACAUCGCCGUGAAUACGUUCCCGGGCCUUGUACACACCGGAGUA
rnacentral:rRNA from 1 species